UACGGAGGGAGCUAGCGUUGUUCGGAAAUACUGGGCGUAAAGCGCACGUAGGCGGCGCAGCAAGUCAGGGGUGAAAUCCCGGGGCUCAACCCCGGAACUGCCCUUGAAACUGCAGUGCUAGAAUCUUGGAGAGGCGAGUGGAAUUCCGAGUGUAGAGGUGAAAUUCGUAGAUAUUCGCAAGAACACCAGUGGCGAAGGCGGCUCACUGGCCCGGAACUGACGCUGAGGUGCGAAAGCGUGGGGAGCGAACAGG
rnacentral:rRNA from 1 species